rnacentral:rRNA from 1 species
AGUGAACGCUGGCGGUAGGCCUAACACAUGCAAGUCGAACGGCAGCACAGUAAGAGCUUGCUCAUACGGGUGGCGAGUGGCGAAGGGUGCGGAAUACAUCGGAAUCUCCUUUUUCGAGGGGGAUAACGUAGGGAAACUUACGCUAAUACCGAAUACGACCUACGGUUGAAAGGAGGGGAUCUUCGGACCUUGUGCGUUUGAAUGAGCCGAUGUCGGGCUAGCAUGUUGGCGGGGUAAAGGCGCACCAAGGCGAACACCCGUAGCUGGUCUGAGAGGAUGAUCAGCCACACUGGAACUGAGACACGGUCCAGACUCCUACGGGAGGCAGCAGUGGGGAAUAUUGGACAAUGGGCGCAAGCCUGAUCCAGCCAUACCGCGUGAGUGAAGAAGGCCUUCGGGUUGUAAAGCCCUUUUGUUGGUAAAGAAAAGCAGCAGGUUAAUACCCCGCGGUUCUGACGGUACCCAAAGAAUAAGCACCGGCUAACUUCGUG